rnacentral:rRNA from 1 species
UGCCAGACUCCUACGGGAGGCAGCAGUGGGGGAUAUUGCACAAUGGGGGAAACCCUGAUGCAGCGACGCCGCGUGUGGGAAGACGGUCCUCUGGAUUGUAAACCACUGUCCCCAGGGACGAAGAUGACGGUACCUGGGGAGGAAGCUCCGGCUAACUACGUGCCAGCAGCCGCGGUAAUACGUAGGGAGCGAGCGUUGUCCGGAUUUACUGGGUGUAAAGGGAGCGUAGACGGUUCUGCAAGUCUGAAGUGAAAGCCCGUGGCUUAACCGCGGAACGGCUUUGGAAACUGUGGAACUGGAGUGCUGGAGAGGCAAGCGGAAUUCCUAGUGUAGCGGUGAAAUGCGUAGAUAUUAGGAGGAACACCAGUGGCGAAGGCGGCUUGCUGGACAGUAACUGACGUUGAGGCUCGAAAGCGUGGGGAGCAAACAGGAUUAGAUACCCCAGUACG